CUGUCAAGGUGACUUUGGGCCUUAUCAGGCUGCUAUCGUCCAGUGUCUUCUCAGUUACGGAGGCUUAUGCAUAACCGGAUCCGAGUGUCCGCCAUAUUCAAUCAAGCCUACACGAUGCCAUCCAUGGGCUGUUUGCUGUAAAAGCCUGGUAGAUACGACUGAGAAAUGUGUAUCCAAAGGCGGAGUUUGUAUAUCCCCGUGUCCUUCUCGUUUAUACCAAAAUGGAGUUUGCAGCAAUGGCAAGGCAUGCUGCAUGAGGUCCUCCUUUAAGGUGUAAGGGUACACUACGCAGAAGGCCUAUGGACAUGCGGACUGAACUGGCCUACAGAGAUGUGGCCUAUGGAAUGGAUUACCCACCUGUACAAUGGCCUGCCUAUGGAACAGCAUGGAGGAAAUCUUUGGUUUCUUUCUUAAACAGCAUGAUUGGCUGUUUCCUGAUGGUGAAAAAGGGGCUGAGGAUUCCUGGACAUUUGCACCAUGGAACAAGCAAAAAGAGACAGAUGCAUUAUAGCUGUGGCAGCAGAGUUCUGGCAGGGACAAAGAAGAUGGAACGGGAUGGACAGAUCUGCAAAGUUGGACACUUUCAGGGGCGCCAGGCCCAG